rnacentral:rRNA from 1 species
CCAAUAGCGUAUAUUAAAGUUGUUGCAGUUAAAAAGCUCGUAGUUGAAUUUCGGGAUCAAGGGAUCGGUCAUGCCUUGGUAUGUACUGGUUUUAUUGGUUCUCACCUUCUAAAGAACCAUGAUGUCAUUCAUUUGAUGUUAUGGGGAAUUAGGACUGUUACCUUGAAAAAAUUAGAGUGUUUAAAGCAAGCUUACGCUUG